rnacentral:rRNA from 1 species
UACAGAGGUCUCAAGCGUUGUUCGGAUUCAUUGGGCGUAAAGGGUGCGUAGGCGGCGCGGUAAGUCGGGUGUGAAAUCUCGGAGCUUAACUCCGAAACUGCAUUCGAUACUGCCGUGCUUGAGGACUGGAGAGGAGACUGGAAUUUACGGUGUAGCGGUGAAAUGCGUAGAUAUCAAGCGGAACACCAGUGGCGAAGGCGAGUCUCUGGACAAUUCCUGACACUGAGGCACGAAAGCCAGGGGAGCAAACGGG